rnacentral:rRNA from 1 species
AUUACCGCGGCUGCUGGCACGAAGUUUGCCGGGGCUUAUUCUCCAGGUACCGUCAUUAUCGUCCCUGGCAAAAGAGCUUUACAAUCCGAAGACCUUCUUCACUCACGCGGCAUGGCUGGAUCAGGCUUGCGCCCAUUGUCCAAGAUUCCCCACUGCUGCCUCCCGUAGG